CAGCUAUGACGAGUUCUUGACGACAUGACGUCAUCACUGACAAUUAAAGAUAGUUCCCUUCGUUCGGGUUGACUAUCGUCGGAGAUGUGGACGAGCGCCUAAUCUUCUCUCUGAGCUGU
rnacentral:snoRNA from 15 species